UACGUAGGGUGCGAGCGUUGUCCGGAAUUAUUGGGCGUAAAGGGCUCGUAGGCGGUUUGUCGCGUCGGGAGUGAAAUCCACUGGCUUAACUGGUGGCUUGCUUUCGAUACGGGCAGACUGGAGGUAUGCAGGGGAGAACGGAAUUCCUGGUGUAGCGGUGAAAUGCGCAGAUAUCAGGAGGAAUACCAGUGGCGAAGGCGGCCUUCUGGACGGAUACUGACGCUGAGGCGCGAAAGCCAGGGGAGCAAACGGG
rnacentral:rRNA from 1 species